AUUGUUUGGUUUUGAAAGUAAUAAAUAUAUUUUAUAAUAAAAAAAAAAUCUGAUACGUCCCCCAUCGGGGGACUACAUAUUAAAUGGAUUUUUCGAACAGGGAGUCGGAAAUGGGGCUUGCUCCACGCAUCGACCCGGUAUUGCAGUACCUCCGGGAACGGUGCAACACUU
ensembl:snRNA U2 U2 spliceosomal RNA